CUCAGGCCACGCCCCUGGCCAGAACCCGCGCAGGUGCAGUGGGACGUUGGCAGCCGUCGGUGUCCGCUUGAGGUGGUGGUACCUCCGCACCCAUCUUUCUGGAGCUCGUCAAUACUGUUUUCCUGAGCUGGAAUCCGCCAUUAGAUAGGAUGGGCGCUUGAAAAGUAGGCGACCUCACGUGGAUGUGACAAAGGAGCCAGUUUUGCUGCUGUGCUCGCCCUUUGCCGCAUCGCCCACCGUCCGCCGCCAGUUUCCGGUAGCCAAUCCCUUCUGUGUUCUUAUUCCAGGGAAGGAUGAGGGGGUUGGAAAAGUGAGGUGCUGGGGAGCCCACGGGCGUGCAGAGGAGGCUUAGCCAAGCAGAGAGGCGAGUGGGUGUUGGGUGAACCAAGAGCCUCUGGAUCCCAAGUCCACGCUUAUUCUCCACCCCUACCUAGAAGAGGAAAGAAGAACAGGGAAGGGGUUUGCUGGUAGAACCUCCAUGUCUUUGUUGUUUCCUUGGUUUGGAAGGCUUUCCUUUUCCCCGCUUGGUGAAAGCCUGUUCAUCUUCCAGGACCCAGCUGGAACACUUCUGGAAGUUUCUUGAACUCUGCCCCUUUUCCUUAUCCAGUCUCUGUUGCUAAGUAUUUCUACAGUAUUGAAGAGUUUGAUUACUGGCCUGAUCACCCGUGGUGACGUUGGGCAAGUUACCUAAGAUAUUCAAACUUAAGGAUCCUCAACUUUGAAGAUCCUUAACUUUGCCCAUAUCCUAUGUAAUAGAGCUGUGGGAUUCAAGUGAGCAAGUGCGUUUUAGUGUUUCCCACAGUGCUUGUUGUAUAGUACAUGUUAAAUAUUUUCCUAAGGGGAGAGGGAAGAAUACAUAAAAGGAUUUCCUUUUUUUUUUUUUUUCUUUUGUGUGGUGCUGGAGAUUGAAUUCAGACCUCUGAGCUACAUCCCAUCACGUUUCUGGUUUUUUGAUUUUUAGACACUAAGUUUCUGAGGCUGGCUUUGAACUCGUAAUCCUCUUGACUCAGCCUCCUAAGUAGCUGGAAUUGUCUGUGCACCACUGUGCUUGGCACUUUUAUUUUCUUUAGGAUGGCUUUAUUACAUCAAGUCAUUUUGUAAUUUUUGGCAAAAGACGAGCAGGUACACAGAAAGAAAAUGAGGCUCUGGUGAAGAUCAUUGAGAAGUCUAGUUAAAGGAGUACUCAGUAGGGACAAAGGUUCAAGCAGAUGUGUUGGUUUCCUCUCGCACCAUGCUACCCACUUCUUGAUGAUAAUGGUGCAUCUCUUUUUCUUAUGUACCAGGCAUUGUACUAUGUGCCUCAAACUCAACAACCCAAUGAGGUAGCUUUCUGAAUUAUAAAGAGCCUGAAGAUCAGGUAGAAUAAUUUACCCAAGUUCAUCCAGCUACUAAGUAGCAAGACUGGAAUCCACAUCUAUGGAUUCUUAAGAAUUUUGAGGGCUGGGGAUGUGGCUCAAGCGGUAGCGCUCUCGCCUGGCAUGGGUGCGGCCCGGGUUCCAUCCUCAGCACUACAUACAAACAAAGAUGUUGUGUCAGCUGAAAACUUAAAAAAAAAAAAAACAAUAAAUAUUAAAAUUCUCAAAAAAAAAAAAAAAAAAGAAUUUCGAGUCUGUGCUACAUUCCUUUUAUUGGAGGUGGGGGGCAGAGUACUGGGGAUUAAGCCCAAGGGUGUUUUACCACAGAUGCAGCCCCAGCC
rnacentral:lncRNA from 1 species